ACGUAGGGCGCAAGCGUUGUCCGGAAUUAUUGGGCGUAAAGGGCUCGUAGGCGGUUUGUCGCGUCGGGAGUGAAAACACUGGGCUUAACUCAGUGCUUGCUUCCGAUACGGGCAGACUAGAGGUAUUCAGGGGAGAACGGAAUUCCUGGUGUAGCGGUGAAAUGCGCAGAUAUCAGGAGGAACACCGGUGGCGAAGGCGGUUCUCUGGGAAUGUCCUGACGCUGAGGAGCGAAAGUGUGGGGAGCGAACAGG
rnacentral:rRNA from 1 species